rnacentral:rRNA from 1 species
GAUGAACGCUGGCGGCGUGCUUAACACAUGCAAGUCGAACGAAGAUGCCGGAGUGCUUGCACUUUGGCAGACUGAGUGGCGGACGGGUGAGUAACGCGUGGGUAACCUGCCUUAUACAGGGGGAUAACAGUUGGAAACGACUGCUAAUACCGCAUAAGCGCACGGUAUCGCAUGAUACAGUGUGAAAAACUCCGGUGGUAUAAGAUGGACCCGCGUCUGAUUAGCUUGUUGGUGAGGUAACGGCCCACCAAGGCGACGAUCAGUAGCCGACCUGAGAGGGUGACCGGCCACAUUGGGACUGAGACACGGCCCAGACUCCUACGGGAGGCAGCAGUGGGGAAUAUUGCACAAUGGAGGAAACUACUGAUGCAGCGACGCCACGUGAGUGAAGAAGUAGUUCGCUAUGUAAAGCUCUAUCAGCAGGGAAGAUAGUGACGGUACCUGACUAAGAAGCU